GGUCAAUUGAUCAGAUACGGGCUGUUGACCGGAAUUGCGAAAUUCCUCAUGAGGGGCCAUUUUGUGAUCUCAUGUGGAGUGACCCUGAAGAGAUCGAAACUUGGGCUGUUAGUCCACGUGGAGCUGGAUGGCUUUUUGGAUCGAGGGUGACAACCGAGUUCAAUCACAUAAACAAGCUAGAUCUUGUUUGUCGAGCACACCAGCUUGUACAAGAGGGCUUGAAGUACAUGUUCCAAGACAAAGGCCUUGUGACGGUGUGGUCUGCACCUAAUUAUUGUUAUAGGUGUGGGAAUGUAGCUUCUAUAUUAAGUUUCAACGAGAAUAUGGAGAGAGAGGUGAAG
rnacentral:misc_RNA from 1 species